rnacentral:rRNA from 1 species
GAUGAACGCUGGCGGCGUGCCUAAUACAUGCAAGUCGAGCGAACAGACGAGGAGCUUGCUCCUCUGACGUUAGCGGCGGACGGGUGAGUAACACGUGGAUAACCUACCUAUAAGACUGGGAUAACUUCGGGAAACCGGAGCUAAUACCGGAUAAUCUAUUGAACCGCAUGGUUCAAUAGUGAAAUACGGUUUUGCUGUCACUUCUCGCUGGAUCCGCGCUGCAUUAGCUAGUUGGUAAGGUAACGGCUUACCACGGCAACGCUGCGUAGCCGACCGGAGAGGGUGAUCGGCGACAUGGGAACGUGGACACGGACCAGAGUCCUACGGGAGGCAGCAGUAGGGUAUCGGAGGCAAUGGGCGAAAGCAUGACGGAGCAAGGGCGCGUGAGAGAUGAAGGUCUUCGGAGCGUAAAACUCUGUUAUGAGGGAAGAACAGAUGUGUAAGGAACUAUGCACGUAGUGACGGUAACUAAUAAGAAAGCCACGGCUAACUACGUG